UGGACGUCGACCCGGUCUCGGACCCAGGCGGCCCCCAGCUCUCCGUGGCGCCUGCGCAGCAGGACGGGGCCCUGAGGGGAGCCUGGGCUCUGAAUCUGCAGGAACAGCUGGAGGCAGCCACCCUCAGACCCGUGCAGACCACCCCCAGCUCACCCAGAAGUCGCCCCGGAUGCGGCCAGUGGCCACCACCAGCUCCUGCCAGCCUGGGCCCCAGGGCCCAGAGCUCUGCCACAGGGUCAGCGUCUCGGCCCUGUGGGUCAGCUCUAGCCGCAGCUCAGCCACAUCUGCUGAGUCUGCUCUGCUUGGAGGGGGGACCUGGCCCCUUCUGUACCCGCUGCCCGUCAGCAGGCCCCGCCCUGUGUUGAUGAGGACGAACGUCCGACUGUAAAAGCGUCCAGGAGAGGGGCCCCUGGCCCAGGUAGGCUCCCACCCGCCCGGAUACUUCUGACCAAAGGUCGGGCUUCAGUCAUCAGGCCCACCGUCCCAGCCCUGCCUGGCGGAGGCCCCACCAGAGAAAGCACCCACUCGGGCUUUGUCUCCCAGAGCUGGGGCAGGAGCCCAGCACGCACCCCCCACCUGUGCCCCCAGCCCCACGUUCCGUGCCUCCCUGCCCCAAGUGACCAGGGACUUCGUCCUUCCCCACCACAGUCUGUGGCUGCCUGUGGCUGCUCAUUCCUUUGUAAGGGACGAUCAUGUAUUCAUCAACAAGUGUUCUGAUUAGCGUGGCUGGGUGCUGCCGGGCACAGGGCAUUUACCACCACGUGACCUCGGUCUUACCAGAUCCUGUCUCCUCAUCACUAAGAUGUGGUCACAACAGCCUGGAGAGGCCACCGUGAGCUCACGGAAGGCCUGCCCCAAGAUGGCACCCGUGUUCACGGGGAGCCACAGGGACAGCUGUGCUCGGCUGUCCCCUCAUCCACACAUCCACUUGCCGCAGCUCGUCCCCCCUCAGCCCUGCACUGGGAGGAGAGGAGGGGGUCCUGCAGGGGGGCUCCCGGCUCCAAGCCUGAACCCUCAGAGCCUGUGGCUGCAGGGCGGGUGCCAUGGGACCCGGUCUUACGAGGGGUCUGGGAAACUUCAUGUGACUUCAAACGGCAGAUCACGAGGGGACACUGAUGUCAGCUGGCCCUGGGGGACCUGGUGCUAACUCCUUGCGCAAGGGCUCAUCAAAGAGUUUCCUCCCAGAUGUCCUUGGACACAGGAGGGGUGGAGAGGAGCAAUCAGGCCAUAAAUGGGGGCAGCAGCCCAGGGGCCCCCUUAUCAGAGCACAAAGGGCUGAGUGUGCACGCCACCCCCCCCCCCAGGGGCCCCCAGAUGUGGAGCCAGGUGAGGGACAGCCAGUAGGGGCCCUGCGGCUACCAGGGCCGCCUCCAGCUCUCUGUCACCCACACCCUCCGGCCAGGGGUCCCCAGGGGUGACCGGGAAGCAGACAGAUCAAGACACACACACAUCUGAGGAAGAGCAGGGGCGAUAACGUUUUUAAUUCCUGCAGGUGAGGUAAACCUGGGCACUCGGGCCCGGCUGCUGUUGGUCUCCAAGGCCUGGCCCGGGGUGCAUAGCGCCAGGGGGUAUAGUGGGCCGCUCGGGCAGGCCUCAGUAACCGUCGUCGGCCCAGGUGACCUCGUAGUCCGGG